rnacentral:rRNA from 1 species
AUUGAACGCUGGCGGCAGGCCUAACACAUGCAAGUCGAGCGGUUGACGGGAGCUUGCUCCCUGAUUCAGCGGCGGACGGGUGAGUAAUGCCUAGGAAUCUGCCUAUUAGUGGGGGACAACGUUUCGAAAGGAACGCUAAUACCGCAUACGUCCUACGGGAGAAAGCAGGGGACCUUCGGGCCUUGCGCUAAUAGAUGAGCCUAGGUCGGAUUAGCUUGUUGGUGAGGUAAUGGCUUACCAAGGCGACGAUCCGUAACUGGUCUGAGAGGAUGAUCAGUCACACUGGAACUGAGACACGGUCCAGACUCCUACGGGAGGCAGCAGUGGGGAAUAUUGGACAAUGGGCGAAAGCCUGAUCCAGCCAUGCCGCGUGUGUGAAGAAGGUCUUCGGAUUGUAAAGCACUUUAAGUUGGGAGGAAGGGUUGUAGAUUAAUACUCUGCAAUUUUGACGUUACCGACAGAAUAAGCACCGGCUAACUCUGUGCCAGCCGCCGCGGUAA